rnacentral:rRNA from 1 species
CGGCGGCCGUAACUAUAACGGUCCUAAGGUAGCGAAAUUCCUUGUCGGGUAAGUUCCGACCCGCACGAAAGGCGUAACGAUUUGGGCACUGUCUCAACGAGAGACUCGGUGAAAUCAUAGUACCUGUGAAGAUGCAGGUUACCCGCGACAGGACGGAAAGACCCCGUGGAGCUUUACUGUAGCCUGAUAUUGAAAUUCGGCACAGCUUGUACAGGAUAGGUAGGAGCCUUUGAAACGUGAGCGCUAGCUUACGUGGAGGCGUUGGUGGGAUACUACCCUAGCUGUGUUGGCUUUCUAACCCGCACCACUUAUCGUGGUGGGAGACAGUGUCAGGCGGGCAGUUUGACUGGGGCGGUCGCCUCCUAAAAGGUAACGGAGGCGCUCAAAGGUUCCCUCAGAAUGGUUGGAAAUCAUUCAUAGAGUGUAAAGGCAUAAGGGAGCUUGACUGCGAGACCUACAAGUCGAGCAGGGUCGAAAGACGGACUUAGUGAUCCGGUGGUUCCGCAUGGAAGGGCCAUCGCUCAACGGAUAAAAGCUACCCCGGGGAUAACAGGCUUAUCUCCCCCAAGAGUUCACAUCGACGGGGAGGUUUGGCACCUCGAUGUCGGCUCAUCGCAUCCUGGGGCUGUAGUCGGUCCCAAGGGUUGGGCUGUUCGCCCAUUAAAGCGGUACGCGAGCUGGGUUCAGAACGUCGUGAGACAGUUCGGUCCCUAUCCGUCGUGGGCGUAGGAAGUUUGAGAGGCGUUGUCCUUAGUACGAGAGGACCGGGAUGAACGGACCGCUGGUGCAUCUGUUAGGCUGCCAAGCCUAUAGCAGAGUAGCCAAGUCUGGAACUGAUAAACGCUGAAGGCAUCUAAGCGUGAAACAGACCUCAAGAUAAGACUUCCCAUCCGAAAGGAGUAAGACCCCUUGUAGACUACGAGGUAGAUAGGUUGGAGGUGUAAGCAUGGUAACAUGUGUAGCUGACCAAUACUAACGGUUCGAGGGUUUGACCUA